rnacentral:rRNA from 1 species
UACGUAGGGGGCGAGCGUUGUCCGAAGUUACUGGGCGUAAAGCGCGCGUAGGCGGUCCCUUAAGUCUGACGUGAAAGGUUCAGCGCUCAACGUGAACAGUGCGUUGGAUACUGGGGGACUUGAGUGCGGGAGGGGAGAGUGGAAUUCCUGGUGUAGCGGUGAAAUGCGUAGAUAUCAGGAGGAACACCGAUGGCGAAGGCAGCUCUCUGGCCUGUAACUGACGCUGAGGUGCGAAAGCGUGGGGAGCGAA